UACGUAGGGUGCAAGCAUUAAUCGGAAUUAUUGGGCGUAAAGGGCGCGUAGGCGGAGAUGUAAGUCAGAUGUGAAAUCCCGGGGCUCAACCCCGGAACAGUAUUUGAAACUGCGUUUCUAGAGGGUAGGCGGAGAAAACUGAAUUCCACUAGUAGCGUUGAAAUGCGUAGAUAUGUGGAAGAACACCAGUGGCGAAGGCGGUUUUCUAGCUUAUACCUGACGCUAAUGCGCGAAAGCACCGGGAGCAACCAGG
rnacentral:rRNA from 1 species